rnacentral:lncRNA from 1 species
GAGUGUUGGUAUGACUGUACAGUAUAUUCGUAUUCAACAUACUUAUUUAAUAUAUGCACCAUUUGUACCCUUUUAUAGUUAACCCUCAGAUGUAUAAUGGCUUCCCUUACACAUGCACUGGGAGACCGACAGACCCACCAAAACAAGACAGGCAAGCAUGUAAGUUUACUGAUAUUUUUCUUUGUGAUAUAAGUUAACACAUUGCGCCCCGAUGCGCCCUGCUUUAUUAUCAAUUUUACUCUGUCUAACGCCAGAUGAUUUACUCAUCAAGGGGAGAGCUCUGGUGCUUAAUGGAUUAACUGGCCUAUCUGCCCAUGUGUCUAGUCUAGUUAAUCCAUUGAGUUGCAUUGCACCGAUGUGCCCUGCUUUAUUAUUUUACUCUGUCUACUGCCAGACAAUUUACUUGUCAAGGGGAGAGCUCUGGCAUUUAAUAGGUACAGUAACUUAACUGGCCUAUCUGGCCAUAUGUCUAAUAAUCUAGUUAAUCCAUUCAGUUGCAUUGUGCCAAUGCGCCCAGUGACUGACUGAAAGUCUGAAACAGUACAGGCUUGACUGCAGUCACUGACAAGAAGAAAAUUCAAAUCUCACAAUGUAUAUUAAUUUUACUGUAUAAACCAUAUAAUAUAAACCAUAUAAUGUCUAAACCAUUUAUAUAUUUCAUUUAUAUAUUUUUAAACCAUAUAUAUAUUUCUAAACCAUUUAUAAACCAUAUAAUUUCUUUUAUUAGUCCAUGCUGACAGCAAAUGCCUUAACUGAGGUGGAUAGGCCCAAGAAUGUUUCGAAAUUAACUAAGAAUGCAAGAAAAAGAUUCAAUAUGAACUGGAGAAGCAGGAGAACUGUUAAGAGAACACAAACAUACAGUAUUUGUUUUUAAUAUUUUAGUAAUGAUAUUAUAUGCAUUUCUUAAUUUUAAUCUUUGGUCUUGUCCCUGCAUGGUGUUACUGGUAACCCACCCCUGAUUUUUUUAUUUCUGCAUGCUUUUAGCUGAGUAAUCAUAUACAGGGUGUAUCAAAAAAUGUCCCAAAUGGAUAAUUUCCUCGAAAUCACACAAAAUUUGGGAUAUUUUUUGUAACCGAGAGUAAAUAUAUGUAUAUUGUAAUUAAGUUUUUAUUAUUUUGUAAUUUGUAUAUUUCGAAUAAACUAGUGUCUGAUGUGGUAC